rfam:Schistosoma rodhaini strain Burundi genome assembly, scaffold: SROB_scaffold0004554
GUCCAGAUGACGAGUCUCAAAUAGGACGAAACGCGCGACAAACUGUAU